rnacentral:rRNA from 1 species
UACGUAGGGUGCGAGCGUUAAUCGGAAUUACUGGGCGUAAAGUGUGCGCAGGCGGCCGAGCAAGUCGAGUGUGAAAGCCCCGGGCUUAACUUGGGAAUUGCGCUCGAAACUACUUGGCUGGAGUGUGGCAGAGGAAGGUGGAAUUCCAGGUGUAGCGGUGAAAUGCGUAGAGAUCUGGAGGAACACCGAUGGCGAAGGCAGCCUUCUGGGCCAACACUGACGCCCAUGCACGAAAGCGUGGGGAGCAAACAGG